UUCCUACGGGACGCAGCAGUGGGGAAUAUUGCACAAUGGGCGAAAGCCUGAUGCAGCAACGCCGCGUGAAGGAAGAAGGCCUUCGGGUCGUAAACUUCUGUCCUUGGGGAAGAAGAACUGACGGUACCCAAGGAGGAAGCCCCGGCUAACUACGUGCCAGCAGCCGCGGUAAUACGUAUGGUGCAAGCGUUAUCCGGAUUUACUGGGUGUAAAGGGAGCGCAGGCGGCGCGUUAAGCCUGGUGUGAAAGCCCGCGGCCCAACCGCGGGACUGCAUUGGGAACUGGCGCGCUGGAGUGCCGGAGGG
rnacentral:rRNA from 1 species